UACGUAGGGUGCAGCGUUAGUCCGGAAUUACUGGGCGUAAAGCGCUCGUAGGCGGUUUGUCGCGUCGUCCGUGAAACUUGGGGCUCAACCCCAAGCUUGCGGGCGAUACGGGCAGACUUGAGUACUGCAGGGAGACUGGAAUUCCUGGUGUAGCGGUGAAAUGCGCAGAUAUCAGGAGGAACACCGGUGGCGAAGGCGGGUCUCUGGGCAGUAACUGACGCUGAGGAGCGAAAGCGUGGGUAGCAAACAGG
rnacentral:rRNA from 1 species